UGGUCCUGACUAAUCAAGACUGCUUGCUGAU
rnacentral:piRNA from 1 species